rnacentral:rRNA from 1 species
UUUAUUGCAGGUACCGUAUGAAUAAGGACCGGCUAAUUCCGUGCCAGCAGCCGCGGUAAUACGGAAGGUCCGGGCGUUAUCCGGAUUUAUUGGGUUUAAAGGGAGCGUAGGCCGGGUUUUAAGCGUGCCGUGAAAUGUCGGGGCUCAACCUUGACACUGCGGCGCGAACUGGAGUCCUUGAGUGCGCGGAACGUAUGCGGAAUUCGUGGUGUAGCGGUGAAAUGCUUAGAUAUCACGAAGAACCCCGAUUGCGAAGGCAGCAUACGGCAGCGCUACUGACGCUGAAGCUCGAAGGCGCGGGUAUCGAACAGGAUUAGAUACCCUGGUAGUCCGCGCGGUAAACGAUGGAUGCCCGCUGUUGGCGAUAUAUUGUCAGCGGCCAAGCGAAAGCGUUAAGCAUCCCACCUGGGGAGUACGCCGGCAACGGUGAAACUCAAAGGAAUUGACGGGGGCCCGCACAAGCGGAGGAACAUGUGGUUUAAUUCGAUGAUACGCGAGGAACCUUACCCGGGCUUGAACUGCCGGCGAACGAUCCAGAGAUGGUGAGGCCCUUCGGGGCGCCGGCGGAGGUGCUGCAUGGUUGUCGUCAGCUCGUGCCGUGAGGUGUCGGCUUAAGUGCCAUAACGAGCGCAACCCCUGUUCUCAGUUGCCAUCGGGUAAUGCCGGGCACUCUGUGAAGACUGCCUCCGUAAGGAGUGAGGAGGGUGGGGAUGACGUCAAAUCAGCACGGCCCUUACGUCCGGGGCUACACACGUGUUACAAUGGGUGGUACAGACGGUCGGCGUCCGGCAACGUACGUCCAAUCCGUAAAGCCGCCCUCAGUUCGGACUGGGGUCUGCAACCCGACCCCACGAAGCUGGAUUCGCUAGUAAUCGCGCAUCAGCCAUGGCGCGGUGAAUACGUUCCCGGGCCUUGUACACACCGCCCGUCAAG